UACGUAGGUGGCGAGCGUUGUCCGGAUUUACUGGGCGUAAAGGGAGCGUAGGCGGACUUUUAAGUGAGAUGUGAAAUACCCGGCUCAACUUGGGUGCUGCAUUUCAAACUGGAAGUCUAGAGUGCAGGAGAGGAGAAUGGAAUUCCUAGUGUAGCGGUGAAAUGCGUAGAGAUUAGGAAGAACACCAGUGGCGAAGGCGAUUCUCUGGACUGUAACUGACGCUGAGGCUCGAAAAGCGUGGGGAGGCAAACAGGAUUAGAUACCCUGGUA
rnacentral:rRNA from 1 species